UCCUACGGGAGGCAGCAGUAGGGAAUCUUCGGCAAUGGACGAAAGUCUGACCGAGCAACGCCGCGUGAGUGAAGAAGGUUUUCGGAUCGUAAAACUCUGUUGUUAGAGAAGAACAAGGACGUUAGUAACUGAAACGUCCCCUGACGGUAUCUAACCAGAAAGCCACGGCUAACUACGUGC
rnacentral:rRNA from 1 species